UCACAUACUUCUGGCCAGAACUCAGGCACAUAGACACAGCGAGCUGCAAGAGAAACUGGAGAUGCUGUUUCUAUUCCUGGCAUCUGUGCACUGAGCUAAAAUUCUAUUCCUGGGGAAGAAGAGAGGGGGUAACAGGGGCCAACUUAUUUUCUAACUGAAGGACAUUUUACAGACAGGAAAAGAUCAAGAGCAAAGGCUCUGAGGAGGGAGAGACCUUGUUUAAAGAAGAGAAAGAAGGCCAGCGUCACUCAGCGAUGGUUAAAGAGGAUGUGGGUUCAGGGAUGCAGACGGGGACAAGGCCACGUGAGGAUUUUUAAACCACGAGUAAGUGCCGCAGACAACAAGAGUACGUGGGUUUAGAGUUACAGCCUCAAAGGCGGUGUUGAUGGCAAACUGGAUAACCUCUUGCUGAGACGGAAAGGAGUAUUCUGGGCUGCAGUAUCUGCAAGAUGGAAAUAUGGUAAAGCGUGUGGACUUUCUGGCCAGCAAGAAGAGAACGUUCCAUGGUGGGAUCUGCUCUG